rnacentral:rRNA from 1 species
GACGAACGCUGGCGGCGUGCUUAACACAUGCAAGUCGAACGAAGUGGCGAACGGGUGAGUAACGCGUAAUCAACCUGCCCUUCAGAGGGGGACAACAGUUGGAAACGACUGCUAAUACCGCAUACGGAAGGAGGGGAUUGCGUCUGAUUAGCUAGUUGGAGGGGUAACGGCCCACCAAGGGGAUGAUCAGUAGCCGGUCUGAGAGGAUGAACAGCCACAUUGGGACUGAGACACGGCCCAGACUCCUACGGGAGGCAGCAGUGGGGAAUCUUCCGCAAUGGACGAAAGCCUGACGCAGCAACGCCGCGUGAGUGAUGACGGCCUUCGGGUUGUAAAGCUCUGUUGUUAGAGAAGCGUUAUCUAACCAGAAAGCCACGGCUAACUACGUGCCAGCAGCCGCGGUAAUAC